GACGAACGCUGGCGGCGUGCCUAAUACAUGCAAGUCGAGCGGACGGAUGGGAGCUUGCUCCCAGACCGUCAGCGGCGGACGGGUGAGUAACACGUGGGCAACCUGCCUGUAAGACUGGGAUAACUCCGGGAAACCGGGGCUAAUACCGGAUAACUCUUUCCCUCACCUGAGGGAAAGCUGAAAGAUGGCAUCUCGCUAUCACUUACAGAUGGGCCCGCGGCGCAUUAGCUAGUUGGUGAGGUAACGGCUCACCAAGGCGACGAUGCGUAGCCGACCUGAGAGGGUGAUCGGCCACACUGGGACUGAGACACGGCCCAGACUCCUACGGGAGGCAGCAGUAGGGAAUCUUCCGCAAUGGACGAAAGUCUGACGGAGCAACGCCGCGUGAGUGAUGAAGGUUUGCGGAUCGUAAAACUCUGUUGUCAGGGAAGAACAAGUACCGGAGUAACUGCCGGUACCUGGACGGGACCUGACCAGAAAGCCACGGCUAACUACGU
rnacentral:rRNA from 1 species